UGUACAGAUUGUCUGAGGAAGUCCAAACGUGAUUAGCAAGCUAUUGGGAUUUUUGAACAAAGCCAGAAGCUCAACUUGGAGGUCCCUGUGAAGGGAAAUGGAACCUAAACCUGCUGAGGCAUUCAUUCAUUCGUCAUCAGCCGCUUCUCCGGGGUCGGGUCGCGGUGGCAGCACGACCUAUGUUAUACCUGCAGCAAGCUAAAUAGGGCACUCCAGACACCCCUCUCCCCAGCAACGCCCUCCAGCUCCUCCUGAGGUAUCCCAAGGCAUUCCCAGGCCAGACUGGACAUGUAGUCCCUCCAGUGAGUUCUGGGUCUACCCCAGGUCUCCUCCCAGUUGGGUGCGCCCAUGAAACCUUCAACGGAAGGCGGCCAGAUGGCUUCCUAAUCAGCUGAGUGAUGCUUAUUGUAAAUAAGUUUUGGUUGUGGGCACAGUGGUAUGUACCCAGAGUUUCUCUGUAAUCCUCUUUGGAAGAAGAAGUUUAUGUUUAUUUCUGGACUGUCAUCCUGAUGGAUAGCAAAACUUGCAUAUUAUUCAAAGAGUCAAUAGGUCAGGUCUCCUCUCAUCCUUUUCUUCCAGCUCGUAAUUCUCCAGGGCUGUUUCUUCAGACCUUGUUACACUCAUAUGAGCUUCCCAUGUUCAUACAGAGAAGACACUUUAUAAUGCUACCUUUGUUCUGCUA